GCUCUCCCGUUUCCGGAAUCCCCGCAGGCGCUGGGUCUGCAGAUGGCGUCCAGGUACACAGUGGCGAGUGUGAUUCCGCAGUCUUGGGCUGUUUGGCCAAGCGCCCGCCGGACAUGGUACGCCGAAGGGUCAUCGGCGUGGAGUCCUCGCUUUCAGCGUCCGCGGCUGGGAAAUCGGCCAUCGCUACGGCGGGAACUGGGACUCGGGCUGCGUCCCGGCCCUUCCACAUCGGUCCACCGCACUCGUGGGCGCCCGCAUUGGUGCUGACAUAAUUUCCUGACCUCUGACCCGUAUUGUCUCGCGAUUAAAGGUCCAGAUUUGGAACAAAUCUCUCUAGAGAUUGAACAGAGCUGCGCCUGGAUCCCUCAGCAGUGAGGAGACCUGAAGACCAGAGGAAACACAGCAAGGGCUCACCAGAGAAGACAGGGCAAGGUGAGGGGGAUCUCCUAGCAGAGGAAACAACAUGCGCCAAUCAAGCAAAGAUAUUUUUGUGCAUUCAAGGAACACAGAGAGGAAAGACAGUGGCAGAUGGAGACGUAUAAAGCAGGGAUCCUGUUAUGAAAAGCCCUAAAAAAUAGGGUAUAGAGUUUGGGCCAUAUUUCAGAGGUAAUAAGAAAGCAUUCUGCAUUUUUAAAGUAAGGUUUAAAAAUGUUUCUAAUUAGAGAUACAGCAAAGUUGGUGUGAGAGGAUAAAGACUGAUAUACAUAAUCUGAGGAGUUCAUGAAAAUUCCAUGUAAAGCCUGUAGUAUGAAUUGGUCCUAGGAGACAGACAGCUUCAGGGGCAUAGAGAACUUUAAGCACUUUUCCAAGAAGAGUGAAGGGCUGGAGAAUAAAUUGUGAACUAAAAUAUAUUUUGUGUUUGAGAACAUGAAGUACUUGAGAGUGAUUAUUACACGGUUUUAAGAAAAAACUAGUUCUUUUAAAUAAAACUUUUUUUUAGCUGAGCACAGUGGCUCACGCCUGUAAUCCCAGCACUUUGGGAGGCCGAGGCAGGCGGAUCACCUGAGGUCGGGAGUUCGAGAUCAGCCUGACCAACAUGGACAAACCUCGUCUUAAUUAAAAAUAUAAAAUUAGCCGGGCAUGGUGGCACAUGCCUGUAAUCCCAGCUACUCAGGAGGCUGAGGCAGGAGAACUGCUUGAACCUGGGAGGCGGAGGUUGCGGUGAGCUGAGAUCGUGCCAUUGCACUCCAGCCUGGGCAACAAGAGCAAAACCCCUUCUCAAAAAAAAAAAAAAGGAAAAAAAAAUUUUUAGGGACAGUGUCUCAAACUGUCAGUCAUGCUGGAGUAGAGUGGUGCAAUCACAGUUUACUGUUGCCUCAAACUGCUAGGCUGAAGCGAUCCUUCCACCUCAGUCUGCUGAAUAGGGUGGGACUACAGGAAUGCACCACUGUGCCUGGCUAAUUUAUUUUAUUUUUGUCGAGACGGGGUCCGCUAUGUUGCCCAGGCUGUUCUCAAACUCCUGGCCUCAAGAAAUACUUUCCCACCUUGGCCUCCCAAAGUGCUGGAAUUACAGGUGUAGGCCACCAUGUCCAGCCAAAAACUAAUUCUAAUCCUGAUAUUCCUCCUCCUGGAAACCAUGUAGACAGAAACAAGAAAAUCAAAGUAAAUCCCAACCAUCAGGAAACAGAAAAUGAACAGAUUCCAAAUUAUUUGGAGAUGUGAAAAGAAAAUGAAAGAACAAUGUCUGUGGAAGCCACAGUGAUGCUACAAAGAAAAACAAAUGAGGAAUAUCCAUUCCCAUGGGGAGUAGACCAUAUCCUGAAUGAAAGUUUCUGUGAGCAGGAAUGAUGUCAAAAGGAGGUGGUAAAAGGAGGCCCGAAGAUGUCAGGGGGAUUCAAGGUGGCAAAACACAUUGGUUGUAUUUUUUUUUUAAAGCUUUAUUGAAAUAUAAUUCACAUACCAUACAAUUAAGCCAUUUACAGUGAACAAUUCAAUGGUUCUUAGUAUAUUCACAAAUACGUGCAACCACAGUCAAUGUUAGAAUAUUUUCAUCAUUUCGAAAAGAAACUCUAACCCUUUGGCUAUCACUCCUUGGCUUCCCCACUGCCACAUGUGCCCCAUACUUAGCCUCAAAUAAUGACUAAUCUACUUUCUGACUCUAUGGAUUUUCCUAUUCUGGACUUUCAUAUGAAUGGAAUAACAUAUGUGGACUUGUUACUGGCUUCUUUCACGUAGCAUAAGGUUCUCAAGGUUUAUCCAAAUUGUAGCAUGAAUCAGUACUUCAUUCCUUGCUAUGCCUGAAUAAUAUCUCUGCAAAUGAAUAGACCACCUUUUGUCUACCCAUUCGUCUAUUAAUGGACAUUUGGGUUGUUUCCACCUUUUGACAAUUACUAUUAUUUUUGAGAUGAAGUUUCGCUCUUGUUGCCCAGGCUGGAGUGCAAUGGCACGAUCUCGACUCACCACAACCUCCACCUCUGGGGUUCAAGUGACUCUCCUGCCUCAGCCUCCCGAGUAGCUGGGAUUACAGGCAUGUACCACUAUGCCCAGCUAAUUUUGUAUUUUUAGUAGAGACGGGGUUUCUUCAUGUUGGUCAGGCUAGUCUCAAAUUCCCGACCUCAGGUGAUCCGCCCGCCUCGGCCUCCCAAAGUGCUGGGAUUACAGGCCUGAGCUACCAUGCCCGGCUGACAAUUAUUUUUAAAAUGCUGCAAUGAACAUUCAUGUAAAAGUUUUUGUUUGAAUAUCAUCUAUUUUGUAGUUUUCAGAGUAUAAGUUUUAUUUUCUAUAUAGAAAAUCAUGCCAUCUGCAAAUAGAGAUGCUCUUAGCUGUGUUCCGUUCUUUUCUCCAGUGUCUUUUAUUUCUUUUACUUCCCCAUUUGCCCUAGCCCAAUUGCCAGUACAAUGUUAAACAGAAGUGGGGAUCCUUGUCUGGUCCCUGAUCUUAGAGGGAAGACAUCCAGUCUUUUACCAUUAAGUGUGAUGUUGGCUGUGGGUUUUUCCUAGAUAUCAGGUUGAAUUCCUCUUUAUUCCUAGUUUGUAGAAUGUGUAUGUUUUAAAAAAAAUCAUAAAGGGUAUUGGCUCUGGUCAA
ensembl:lncRNA ZNF790-AS1 ZNF790 antisense RNA 1